rnacentral:lncRNA from 1 species
AAAAGAAUAAAACAUAGGCCCUGAACUUAAGGAGUUUAUAAUCUGGUAGGAAAGCAGCUAUUAGAAGGCAGUAGUAAAUAGAUACUGAAAUCAAAAUGCAAAGAAGGAAAUUUUAGGGGUCUGCAGAGGAAAAGAGAGAAGAUCCUGAUAGAGGGAUGGGAGGAGGUCAAAGAUGACUGCAUGGAAGUGACAUUUAGUACCUAAAGAA